UCCCUGAUAGCUCAGUUGGUAAAGAAUCUGCUUGCAAUGCAGGAGACCCCGGUUUGAUUCCUGGGUCGGGAA
rnacentral:tRNA from 1 species